GUGUCUUUAGCUCAGUUGGUAGAGCAGUUGACUUUUAAUCAAUUGGUCGCAGGUUCGAAUCCUGCACGACCCACCA
rnacentral:tRNA from 1 species